ACGAUCAUAAAUUAGCUCACGAGUCAUAAAUCGACUUGUGAAAAUAAUUAGAGAAUGUGUCAAUAGGACUUCAAAAUUGAUUAAUGUAUGAUGGAAAGUACGAUUAUAUGUCACAUUCACGGUGCAUACAUGCAUAGAAGAUAAUCAAGCUGAUAGAAGGACCCGUUACUUAAUUUAUGAAAAUCUCUAAUGAGUGAAGUCGAACAUUAUUCUUUGUUCUUAAAUGUUAUUAAUUAUGUUAUUUAUGAGAUUAAUUACUGAUAAUUAACUCUUUUCUAACACUUCCAUUACUUAUUACAAUUUGAUUAACUUAUUCUUUCAGCUACUAUUUAUCUUUAACAUCAAUAUUACUGGAAUAAGGCUGACUCAAGAUAUUUUAAUUCAUUAUUCGCUUAGUAUAUUUAUUUUGGCAUUAGUUUAUUUCUUAUUGCGUAAUAGUUCACCUGCCUCUGUCGAAAUAAUAUUUCUUAUCUUUUAAAUUUGGCGUAUAAAUUCAAUUAUAUGUAUUUUUUUAAUAGUAAACAUUAAUGUCUUGUCCAGAUGUACCUAGAGUUAUUACUAUUAUUUUCUACGUGUUAUGAUUUGAUACAAUCAUGUAUAUAAUAAGAUAAUAUUAGUAACAUGUAUGAUGAGAUUUUAAAGUACAUUCUAUGUAUUACAAAACUAUUAUUUCAAUAUCGUAUAAUAUUAUUUGUAUUAUUAAUUUCAUUGAAAUAUGAUAUGUAAUUUGCUAGAAUAUUAAUAAUAUGUUUUUGUGUAAGGGCAAUAUGGACAGCUAAUAAAGAAAAGAUUGUUGCCGUUGUUUUACUUGAAACAAGAGGUGCGUUGGACACCCGGCACCCAAGUGGACCCCAUUUAUUCGUCGCCACAAGUCACCUCUCUGUGUUACGUAGGUGUUUAUAUUACUCUACCUUUUUUUUUGGAUUCUUUCGUCGAGCCACGUGAAACUGAUCCCACCAUCUAUAAGUAUGGUAUAGGAUGAAAGCGGAGUAUUUUAAUUUCCAUAAUUAGUGAACUCGAUAAGAGAUGGACAUAGAUAUUGAAAUUAAGUUUAUAAAUUAUAAUUUUGGUAUGUAUUUACAAAUUUAGGUAUUUGAUGUGAUAUUUACAUAUCCAAUAUUAUAUCUAAAUAUACAAUUACUUUGCAAUUAUAUAUAUAUAUA
rnacentral:lncRNA from 1 species